rnacentral:rRNA from 1 species
CACGUAGGGGCGAGCGUUGUCCGGAAUUACUGGGCGUAAAGGGCGCGCAGGCGGUAUAUCAAGUCAGCUGUCAAAGACUGGGGCUCAACCCUGGUAUGCGGUUGAAACUGAUAUGCUGGAGUGCUGUAGAGGCAAGUGGAAUUCCCAGUGUAGCGGUGAAAUGCGUAGAUAUUGGGAAGAACACCGGUGGCGAAGGCGACUUGCUGGGCAGCAACUGACGCUGAGGCGCGAAAGCCAGGGGAGCAAACGGGGAUUAGA